AAAGCAUUAAGAGCAAUUCAGACAUGGGGGUUAAAUUGUUUUGAAAGUCAUGAUCUAUUUGCCCUGACAUUUACAGAUGAAUCCGACAACCGGUUGUUGGAUUGCUGCCCCUGAAUUGGUAACUUUUAAUAACUGAUAAUUUUCAGUAAAUACAGUAAAUUUAAAAUACUGAUAACCGAUAACAGUAAUUUCAUUUAUCUUACAGAAGACAGA
rnacentral:lncRNA from 1 species